CAAAAAGAAAAAGAGGCAAGGCAGGCAGCUAUCAGUGCAAUUAAAAAAAGGUUUUCAAUUAUAUCAGGUGGAAACAGGGUCAGAGACAAUAUCAUCCCCUUUUCCCCACCCCACAAACCAAAGGACCGAGCCAGUGGUAAAUGAUCAGUUGGAAGUGAGUUUGGUUUGUGUUGCUGUUGUUUCCUGUGAACUCUGUUUUCUCUACGAAGAUCAGCCAUGGUCAGACACUUAGAGACAGGGAGGGCAGUGAAAGCCAGCCUGGGGCUGGAAGGGAAGCCUGGCUUUGAAGGGGGAAGAGCUGCUUUGAAAGCUGGGGUGACCCACAUGAGGAUGUGAAAACAGCAGGUGUCGAAGGGACCAGGAAUCUUAGCACACUAUUUUGUUUUGUUUUGUUUUAAGAAAUACUUUAGGAUAAGAGAAAUUUCAUAAGAUUAUGAUAUUGAGUAAGGCCAUACAUAAUCUUUUUCUAUUAAAAUAGUCUGAGGGCAGCCUUUAUGAGUUUGGCCCAGUUAGCUCAGCUUCCAGGCCUGGGGGGAGGAGGGCAUCCAGAAAAACCGUCAAACUGUGAUCCAGUCUCUACCCUUGUACCCUCGGCCAUCACAGCCAGCAUCCUGCCUUCGGGCAUGAUGUUUAGCCCUGGACAACAGAAUUCCUUCAUUAGCAGACAGGCUGGCCACAGAGACAGAGGAGCACAGGGCCCUGGGAAGGGCCUCAAGCCUGGCCAGCAAUGGGUCCCCUUACCAUGCCCAGGAAGGUGUUGACAGACCCUACCAGGAACCCAAGCCAACAGCUCCUGCCAGAAUUUUAGAAACACUUCCCAAGGGUUCUGAUGCUAGGCCAGAUUGGAGAACAUCUGGGGUAGACCAUUUUAAAGUGUGCAUUUUUCAAAGAUAUAUUCUUCUAUAAGCACCAUACAUGUGAUUUUACAAAUUGUGAUUAAAGCUGAAUUUGAAUGAACAUCCAGCCACCUCCUGGAUGUGAGCAUGUAGAGGUCCUUGACUUCCCAUGGUUCAACUUGCAGAUCUUUAACUUUAUGCUAGCACAGUGGUGUGAAAAUGAUACGCAUUCAGUACUUCGGAGCUUGAAUUUAAACCUUUUCCCAGGCAAACUAGAUACAAGGUCCAGUCCUCUCUCACAACUCUGGGCAGUGGCAGAGAACACAGCUCCCUGUCAGCUCCACAACCCUGAGGGGAGCAGCCAUCAUUUACAGUGUGCUAGAUUGUAAGCUCGGAUGUUCAGAAGGUAGGGUGUACUGAAUGCAUUUUCCUUGUCUGAUAUUUUCAACUUACAGUGGGCUUGUCAGGACACGUCCCCAUUGUAAGGCAGGGAGCAGCCAUAUUUCUUAACCUGUUUUUGCAGAGUAUUUUGACCCGUAGAUAGGCGUGAAUGUGCAGAUCCGCCACCCCACCCCCGUCACAGUAUUGGGCAUUUGCACUGAGCUGCAAGGCGUGACUAAAAGAUAUAAGAAUGCUUACAUUUUAAAAAAAAACUUAUGUAAAAACACAUUGCCAAGAACAAUGGAAUAAGUACGUUCAAAUUGAGGGGAAAUAUUUUGGAGGGGAUUCUUGGCGAUGUGUCUUUUAGUGUAAUAUAUUUUAAAUGUAAACAAUCACCGCAUUUUUAUCACACCUCAUUAAUCUAAUAUUUAUGUCAAUUUCUGUUCAAUAAAAAUGUGAUGGUGUAUCCUUAUCCACCUUAUUCACUGGAUCUGGCACCGUGUGACUUUUGCCUCUACCCCAAAGUUAAGAUGACAAUGAGCAAUAAACAUUUUGAGUUGAUUGAAGACAUUGAAGCAGCCAGGACAGCACAACUAAAGACACUCAAAAGAGAGGACUUCCAGAACUGCUUCAGAAUCUGGCAAGAACAAUGGGAUAAGUGUAUUUGAAGUGAGAGGGUGCAGUGUGUCUUUUACUGUAAUCAUUUUUUUAACUGAAAUAUUCAUCACAUUUUUUUUGAUAACCAUUCAUUUCCAGCUCUUUUUAUUUUUUACUUCAAGAUAGGGUCUCACUAGGUUGUCUAGUUGUCCAGGCUGAGCUCAAACCUGGGACCCUCCUGCAUCAGCCUCCCAGAGUGCUAGGAUCACGGGUGUGCACCACCAUACCCAGCUGUAGCUCCUUUUUAAACAGAGAAAGGGCUAAGGAUGAUUCCUCCUUUCCUUCAGGACUAAUUGAGAAUAGCCUGGGCUCUCAGCAUGGACAGUCUCAGUGGAGGCAGGACAGAUGCCAAGAGUGUAAGCAAAGUAGGAUAGAAGAAAGUGAGUCUGCAGCAGAAAUAAGCAGUGUGCUGGGGUCCAGCAGUGGGAAGGGGGUACUGAAUGGCCCCUGAAGGGGAGUAGUUGGGACAGAGGAGGGCGUGUCUGGGAUAUGUGUGUAAGUAUGUGCCAAUGUCUGCUUAUGUAGGUGUUGGUAGGUGGGUGUGUUGAGUAGUAUAGGGUGUGUGCGUGCACAUGUGUGUGUCAGAGAAGUUGCCUCUGGGUCUCAGCCAGUGUCACUGGAGCUCAGAGGGGUCGGGAAAUGUGGGCAAAGGCAGGAUGGCACACAGCUCUGGGGCUCUCUUAGCCACACGGAGGGGCCUGAGCUGUUGUUCCAGUGCCCAGGCAGCAGAUGGAGAUAUACACGGAGGAGUGACAAGAUGCAGCGACCUCUGCAGAGAUCUCCCUGGAAUAGCAUCAUGGUGGGCACGCCAGUGGCCCAAGGAGGCUGGAUGGUGGCCAAGUGGGGCUUGGCUUGGCCUUGGAAGUGGAGCUGAUGGGCUUACUGGGGCAUGAGGUAAUGCGGUGGGACAGAAUGAAUGAAAAUGCCUCCCAGGCCCCAGGACUGAGCAGCUGGCAGAUGCAGUUUGGCCUCCUGAGAUGGGAGAAAUGGUGGGAGCAGGAGGGAGGUGGAAGUUCACAAUUGCCUCUUGGCCCUGGGAAAUCCGACAUGCCUGUGGCCUGCCCAAGGGGAUAUCAGGUCCACAGUGGACAAACGAGUGGAGCUGAGUCCUGUGGACUGGAGGUGAAACCCAGGCUCUGCCGCAGGUGGAACAGGCAGGUUUCCCUGGCUCAGAAGCCCCAGGAUAGAGCACUGAGUCACUGGGAGGGCAUUUAAGCUUGGCCACUUGAUCUCUGUCCCCCCAUCCGUGAUCUUACCACAACCUCACGGGCAUAGACACCCACUAAAAGAAUGUCCUCUCUGGGGACCCGGCCAAGAAUGAUCCCAUGCCACAGCAGCCGAGCCACAUGGUGCUGGGGCAUUUGUGAGGUUUCUCCCCUGGUGGUGGAAGGUAGGACUGGCUUCCCAGGCUGGUUCCUGUCACCCUUAUCCCAGAAAAUAAGGAUACAUUUUGUCACUGAAUUAAUGUCCCACACACCUAAAAGGAUGCUGGCCCUAAAAUCCCACACUGAGCAUUUUCCUGUGAGUCAGCUCAGUUCAUUUUUACAACAAACCCUGGAAAGGAGGCCUAUACUUAUUUUCAUUGUAUAGAUGAGGAAACUGAGGCUUGGCAAAGGAGUCAUUGUACAGCAGUGUGGUAUAGACAGGGUUUGAAACCAAGCCAGUUCAACUGCAUACUGUAUGCCAAGCAGAGACUAAAUGUCCUUUUUUAAAGUCAAAACAACCCCUCAAUGGGGAUUGUUACCGUGACACCCAUUAUACAGAAAGGGAAACUGAAGGAAGCCCAGAGACAAAAUGUUUUGCUUUGAGUCCCUCGAAGCUGCUAAGUGCCAUCACCAGGACUCAAACUGAGGCCUGUGGGAAAAUCUAAAUUCUCUCCCAGACAUGUGACCAGCACCUGCCUCCCUUCCUGACAGUACAAGUCCCUGUCUCUUCUAGCCCAGCCCCAAGCAUCCCAGUGACUAUAAAGGGAGGAGGUGGGCUUGAUCUUUAGGGCUGCACCAACAACUCCCAGACAAAGCUUCCCAAAGGGACAGGAAUGCAGAGGCUGGGGGCCCUUUGGAGCUGUGGCCAGGCCAGCUAAGACCCUGCGUCGCUAGGCGUGGUCAUCCCUAGAGCCUGCGUGUGCAGCUACAAGCGUGCAAGGGACGGUGCUCGUGCUUAUGGCCCAGCCCCACCACAGAUGCACAGCUUCAGCCCACUGUUUCCCGCUGCUCACUGAGACAGCUCUGUCCAUCAGAGCCUCAGCGGGACAGCAGUGAACAGCUCGCUGCCAGAGGGAGUCUGUGGGAUUUACUGCUUGCUUCAGCAAAAUUGUGUGUGUGUGUGUGUGUGUGUGUGUGUGUGUCUGUGUGUGUCUGUGUUUCUUGAACCAUUAUUGGAAAAUCAUACCUUGAUUUAGACACCUACUACUGAAGCUUCCACAAGACCUGUGUUUGGUUAGCAGAGCUACUAAGAGCAUAGGAUUUGAGGUCACGCUACUGAAUCUGAAUCCCAGCUCCACUGCUUACUGGCUGCAUGACCUUGAGCUUGCCUGCUCUUAAUUUCUUCAUGCCUCAGUUUCCCCAUCUUGUUGAGUUGCUAUAAGAAGUACAAUAAACUGUACUGUAUCUGGCAUACAGAACAUGCUCACUGUACGCUAGUUAAGUAUUGUUUUUGUUGCUGUCUUAAAACAGGUGCUUCUGGAAAUGGCCAGGUAGCAAAUAUUUUCUGCUUCACAAGCCCUGUGGUCUCUGUCGCCUCUAUUCUCUUCCAUUGUGACAAGAAGCAAACCAUGAACAGCAUGUCAAUGAUUGCACAUGGUUUUGUUCCAGUCAAACUUCCCUCUUAGUUAUAUCUGAACACAAGGGAGAGAAAUCCUUUUUUCUCUGUGAGCAUGUGACCCUAGGGCUGCCGGAGGCCAUUUUUUCCUAGAUUAUGGGGAGAAGUCAGCCGUGGUGGGAUAGGACAGCUCAGGUGGAAGCAGCCACUUGCCCACUUACAUCUGACUCACUCCUCUCUACCAGCCAGGGAUCAAGGUCACACACUCCACCCAGGAGCAUCUCUCAGUUCCAACAGAACCACCUGCCACCCAUAGUUUUCCUAUGGGCAUUUCUCUUUCCCUUUCCUGGUUGUAUAUCCUUGAGCCAGGUAUUUCCCAGCUUAUUUACAUGAACUUUAUCCACUUUAACUGUAAAUUAGGGUUAAUCAUUAGAUCUACUGCAUGGAGUCAGUUAAAAGGACUAAGUGGGUUAAUAUUUAUAAAGGGCUUAGAGCAGUCCCUGCUGUGUGGCCAGUACUAUAGGUAUAUGCUAUUAUUGUUGCUACCUGGAGACUGAGCACAUAGACCCUCUCGAGUUUUCCUGCUAAAUGAGGGAACCAACAGUUCCCUGUGGCAGGGACUGGAACCCUCAGCAUCCCCAGUAUCAGCCCAGGACUGGUAUUGGGUGGGCACUUAGUGAUUUGCUUAGCAAAAAGCAGUAACAGAAAGUGAACACAAGGAAGCUAUGUGGAUUGGAGCAACCUCCAAGGUAUCGUGGUUCUGAGUCAUGCUGUAAUUAUUCUGGGGAUUUAUAAAACCUUUAAACACUGAGCAGUGUUAGGGAUCUUAUGAGCAGUUUGGGAAUUUAGACUCUCGCUACUUAGUUUGGCCCACAGUAGACCCGUAGCAAGGGCACCUGAAUGCUCAUGAGCCAUGCAGGUCUCCCCUGGCCUCCUAGAACAGAAUCUAUACUUCAACAAGAUCCACAGGUAAUUGACAUUAGAGUCUGAGCCAUCUGUGCCAAGAGAGGAGGACGACUGAGAGAAGUAGCACCAAGAGGGAGAGUCAUGCCUUGCUAAUAUUUUUUGCAGUGCUGGGUCAUCUAUGCCUGAAGCUACUCCUGCACUGUUCACUUACAUAAGCAACAAUGCCCUUGUUCUGAUUAAGCCACUUUGUAGAUGCUGCCAAUAGGACCUCUGUAGGGGCUGUUCGUGGGGGUGAUGUGGGACCAUCAGUUGUUUUAUUAGGAACAUAUGAUGGCUGGAUGGGUGGACAGGAGGAGAUUCCUCCUUCUGCCACCUGGGAAAGGAGAAGUGGGAGGUCAUGGCGACCACAAUGGGCUGGGCAUCAGGAAGGUCUUCAGAGCCAGAGCAGUGAUCUUGGUGGGACAGUGGCCUCAAACAGUAGUAAAGAGGGGUGAGCAUGGGAGAUGCAAGUUUUGGGCAGAAGUGGACACACACUGCUAUCAAGAAGGUCAGUGUUUUGUGCUAAUGGGGGUGUGGAGGUCCAGUGCAGAGAGCGUGAACAUUGAAGUCAACACAGCUCUCUCGAUCCUGAUGCUGCUGCCACUUGCUUGCUGUAUGACCCUGGGCAAGGAAACAUGUCUCUGAGCCUCAUUGUUCUUGUCUAUAAAAUGGGGGUUAAAGUGACACUGGCUCCAUAGGGACAAGGGCAGAGGGGAUGUAUCAGUGACCAGGGCUGGUGGCAUUGCUCCCUGGCUCCAUGUGUGGUGACAUCAUAGUGGGGCCUUGAAAUCCACCGAGGCUGGAGAAUUUGCACCAUGGAAGUGGUGCGCAGCAGAACUUUCCUGCCCGACCCCCCCAAAGCUGGUUGUUAAACAUUUACCAGCAUGUUGCUGGUUACAUGACAAGGUGUGUUUAAAUUGCCAUGCCCAGGGCUGGGGUCCAGGCUGGUUCCUAAUUACUGUUAUAUUAAGUACAUUGUUAUAGCAUCAUAGAAAAUGUUUUUCAUGGUCAGGCUUUUCAUGUGCCCACUUUGUGACAGCUGUUUUAGCUGCUCGGAGGCCCUAUUCUGGUGUCCCUCUGGUUCCCAGCCCUUUCCUGGAAAGCUGAGAUGAUUGGUUACCUGAGUUCUGCACAGAGAAAGUAUUAUAGUUGGUAAUACCUGAAAUUAACAUUUAUUGAACAUGAACUAAAUGCCAGGCACUGGAAAAGCACUUUUUGUGCAUGUUCUUAUUAGAUUUCCCCAAUACUCUGUGAGCUAGAAGUGGUUCAGUGAACCUCAUAAUGUGGAGACGACUAGAGCCCAGAGAAGUUAAUGAGUUAGCCUGGGUUACACAGCUGCUUGACGGAGGGGCCAGGCUUUGACCGCUUGCACUUUGACCCUAGACCCUGAGCCCUCAUCAGGUGGAUCUACAGAAGUUAAAGGUGGAGGGAGCAGGUGUUUUGUCCUUGGGGUAUGGAUCCCCUCCUUGCUUGAAGGCCUGGUGGACACCGGGCAGGGCUGAGAAGUCCUGGCAGCAUCAUCUGCUUGGUGGACGGCGUUGGCCCAGGUUUCUGGCACGUGUGCAGCGGCGUUCUGAUCGGCGAGGGGAUGUCUCUGUUAGAAGGGAAUCUUGGCCUCGUGCCUCUUGGCAGCGGCCUCUUGGCUGCCACGUGGAGUGGCGUUUGGAGGCGGUGGGAAUUACCAGGCAACUUUGCCGGGAGAGCUUGGAGUGGAGUGUGGUCCAGCUGAGCGGGGGUGGGGGGUGCUCUGCCUGUGCCCCAGGCAGGCUGGCAGAGCACAAGAGAUCAAGCACUGUCAACGAAAAGCCACAGAGCUCAUUCUCUCUCCUCCCUGCCUCUGUCUGUCUCUGCCCCUUACCAUCCCUCAGCCUCUCUGCCAGGACUUCACAGAGCCAGUCAGAUGACAGGUGGUUUGGCAGUGAGGGCCACCAUGUCUUUUCCUUCCACUGUUCCCCAUAUCUCUCCAGAUGAAGUUCAGACCCCUUGGGGUGGUUUGAGAACCCUUGUGAUAUGACUUCUGCCUCCUGCUUCUGGCUUUUGUCUCCUUGGUAGGCAGUGAACUUGAGUGGAAACUCAGCUCUCCUUUUUGUGCAGUGCCUAACCCGGCGCUUACCGGAACACACUGAUGACCUGGAAAGGCCGGGAGGGAUGCCUGUCCCUUUGGUGUGGAGAGGGCUGAUGCCCUUCAUGACCUGCAGUCACUGCCAUCGCUGCAUCUUAAGGCUGACUUAGCACAUGCAAGGUGCUGUGCAAGGGUCUGAGUCAGUGGUGGCGAACAUAUGGCAUGUGUGCCACAGUGGGCACCCUGAGCCCUCUCUGCAAUGCUGUCACAGGUUGUAUGAGUUGUUUUUUCUUAACCAAAACCUCAGUAUUCAGGUGUAAUUGCAGUUUUGGCACUUUUGCAAGUGCAUUUUGAGUUGUAGUUUGGGCACUUAGUCUAAAAGGUUCACCAUCACUGGCCCAAGUGCUUUCUGUUCUCAUAACGACUCUAUUAGGUAGGCUGCGUUGUAUCCUCCUUUUACAGAGGAGAAAACUGAGGCACUGGGAGAUUAAAUUACCUGCCCAAGAUCACCCAUCUAGGACAUAGCAGUGCUGAGACUUGAAUUCCAGCCAAUCUAGAGCCCAGGCUGGCUUGAGAAGUUUUUCCUUCAACCACUUUGUGACAUCCCAUACCAGCUCAGUGUUGUCCCCUGCCACUUUCCCAUGGCCUUACCAGUGCAACCACGCUGCUGCCGGCUCGUCCCUCACCCCAGCUCUGUGCCCAUGCACACUUGACAUAGCAGCCUUGGCAAUCCCAGCCCUACUGGUCACCCCAAUGAAGGCAGAGUGCAGAAGACUGGGUUGUGGAAGGUGUAAUGGGCCCCUCUCUCUGCCUGUCACCUUUUCCCUACAGAUGCCAGGGCUGCUUCGACAGUUAGGAGAAGACCCAGACCAUUCUAUAAGGACUGAGAGGUGGGAUCUUUGGGGAUAGGAGAGACGCCAUAAGUCAGUGCCUUCCAAAGGGGACCUUGCUUCGUACUUGAACCUCACCCAGUCAGUCGAGGUGACUGUGCUCUCCAGCGACUGAUAGCUUCAGCAUGCCCUGGCAUCACUCAACACAGACCAGCAGUCCUGUGCAGAGAAGUCAUGUUGCGUUAGCAAUUCUCCAUCACACUGUGUCAUAUCAGGACUGUAUUGUAUUCACAGUUGCUUCUGCUAAUGUGACACGAAAGUUACUAAUCUGAGGAGACUCUUGAGCAUUGUAUCAGGGAAAACAAAUAUUAAUGUGAAUCGAUGGAAGUGGCUAAUAGGAAACCAGGUUGGUUAUGUGACAUGAUGGGUAGGUGGGAGGAAUUGGGGUUGGUGCUUGAGCUUUUCUGGAAGGCUUAACAGAGUUGGGGUGCAGGAGCUCCAUGGUAGUCACUCAGAGAGUUAAGAUCAGUGUCUUUCCGUACAAUGUCACUUCCACCCCCAGACCCUCACCCUUUUACUGGGUUGAAUCCUGUCUCCCCAAAAUUCCAAGCUACUCAGACCCUUGGGAUAGGAGCUUGUUUGGGAAUAGGGUCUUUGCAGGUGUCAUUAGUUAAGGUGAGGACAUUCUGGGGAGGAUGAACCCUUAAUCCAGUGCCAGAAUCCUUGUAAGAAAGCCUAUGAAAAAUAGACACACAGAGAGGCACCUGUGUAACAACAGAGGCAGAGAUUGAAGUGAUGCAGCUACAAGUCACACAAGCCAAGGAUGGCCAGGGCCACCAGAGCUGGAGGAAGCCAGGAGGAUCCUCCCCAGAGACCAGAGCAAGUGUGGCUCUGUCAGCCCUCGUCUUGACUUUGGACUUCUGGCCUCCAGAGCUGUGCGAAAGUCAUUCCUUGUUGCUGUAAGCCACCUGGUUUGUGAUAAUUCAUUUCUGCAGCCCGAGGAAGUUAACAUACCCCUUUCCCAUCACACCCCAGAAAAUCAGGGAUGGGAACAGUAGCACUUAUUUAGCUCAGAGAUAGCAAAACAUAUCAGGGAUGUUCUUGCAGCCAUGGUGGGCUGGCCUGGAUGCUUAACCAGACCUGGGGACAGGGGCCUUAUUCUCUGCCCUGCUUUUUUCUUUGUUGAGAUGGAAAAGGCCUCUCUGUCGCAGGGUGGUUGGCAUAUGGGCUCCACAGCCUGCUUCGCGUCACGUUAAUAUGUGAUUAAAGGGGUCUUAAAACACCCAUUAGUCCCCCUCUGGUAUCUAAUAGCACUUUUGGAUUUAGAACAGAAUAUUAUUUACUCAUUAGCUGAUAAUAGACCCUGAGUACACGCUGUAUGUAUUGGGACAAUUAUUAGAGUCAAUUACACACAGAGACAUGGUGCUGCUGGUGUCACUGGUGGCAGGACAGGUGCUCCAUUGGGCAUGGGGGUGGCACAGGAUGACCAACAAGAAAAGCAGAGGCUUUCCUAGAGAUUGUUCAGGGGCUACAGCAGACAAAAAGGAAUUCCAGAUGCAAACAGAGCCUCUUGGAGGCCCCAGUGGAAGGGAUGUUGAGGGGUAGGAUUUGAGAUAACGUCCAAGAAUGGGGUGCCAACAGCAACAGCCCUCUGCCCCACAGCAGUAAGGAGUGGUACCCAAGCAUGGCCCAAAUCCCCCAAGAUGAGAGUAUGAAUUACCAGUGAAUGCCAACACCAGGAUCCAGGGGUGGCUGGUUUGCCCAAGACACAGAGUAAGUAGCUCGGUGCAAACUCAGAUCUUCCUGUGACAAGACCUGGCUUCUUUGCAACAUUCCACUCUACCCACUGCAGAAACUUCUAGCUGAUUCCAAGCUUCCUUUUGUUCAGUGGAAAGAGGAAUUCUAACCCAUUUCCUCUUGUGUUUACUUUGUUGGAGAGAUGAAGGUGGAAGGUUGUGCCUCUUAUGGCUGGGUCCUUAGCCUCAGGUCCAGUGUACUGGAAUGGCAGAGGUGGAGGAGGAGGAUUGGGUAGGGUCAGGAAGCAAGAAAAAUCAGCAGUGACCGGAUUCAGCUAGUGGUGGGGGUCAGUGUCUCUACUCAAGGUAUCUGGGAACUAGGAUGGAGUGGGAAAGCAGGCAGAGCCCAGUGAAGUUUUCUAGUACCCGGGUGAGGCCUUUUGGUGCCUGAUGGUGUUGGCAUCAUCAGGAGGGAACAGACCCUGGAGAGACCCAGCAUCUGUUUUGCAGGUGUCUUUGGCUGAUUCCUCUUGUGGUGAUGAAGGUAGAGAAGUUUAGGCAGCCCAGUUUAAUGAGCAUGAUGCAGUGUGCAAAGAAAGUUCCAAGUUUGAUCUUCACACAUCUUUGACCUUAGCAAGCCUGACCUUCAGGUCAUCAAUUUGCCAUGAUUUUGCAAGUGAGCAUGUAAACCUCUUAGUACAUAUGCUUUUCAUCUUAUGAUGAGGAUGCAUCCUAAUGAACCCAUUAUAAUAUGAAAAUACUGUAAAUUGAAAAUGCAUUUGAUACACCUAACCUCCCAACUGUCCUGGCUGAAGCCCAGGAAGGGCAGUCCUUUCAGCAGUGUGGCCACCAGGGACACCACAGGAGCUGAAGGUGGGUGCCAGGUGUAAUUAGGGACCCAGUCUCUCCUUUGUUAUUGCCUGAGCUAAGAAUAGGCUCCUGUGAAAGACUCUCAGGGUCGCUAUCCACUGCCCUGGGAAGGAGCCAGGGAGAGGGCACAGCUUGGCAAGGGUGCUCCCAUGUCAUCUCCCGCCCCAAACAUGUGGGUCCCAUACCUCAGCCAAGCCAGAUAAAUAAGCCAGUUCCCAGGGGUGUGCGGCAGGUAGGGGUGUGUGUGUGUGUGUGUGUGUGUGUGUGUGUGUGUGUGUGUGUUAAUAAAACUCACCAGGAGCCAGAUAUCAAUUUCUGUCAGAGAGACGCAGAGCAUCUGAACCAGAACUAAAUAAAAAUAAACAUUAAACAAUUAUUGGAAUUUAGGUUUAUUUAAAAAGUCAGCGGGGUUGAGGGAACAAGCCACCCAUUAGCGAGGCACAACUAUUGGGCCUUUUAACAACCCGCUGUUUCUUGGCUGCCAGAGAGAUUUGGGCUGUCCAAGCUGAGGAAACUCCGGAUCCUAUUGAUUAAAGAUGAUGCAGUAACAGGCCAAUUAUAUCGUGGCGGCUGCUUGUGGCGCUGGCCGACCCUGGCUUCCCAUUUGUCUUUAUGGAAAUGGUUUUGUUGGGGUUCUUAGGGAGGGUGGCAGAGUGUCCCCAUCCUGAACACAGCUUUCUACCUUCCAUGGCCCCUGCAGUGGGAUGGGGGCUUCAAACCCUAGCUGCCCCAGAUUCAUGUGUUUUUCUCCUCCGGGUCCCCUCCGUAGACAUCGGUAGUUCAAAAGAAGCCUGUGCCUUGUCAACCAAAUCAAUGCAAAUAACCAGUGAGCAUUUCUCAACUUUUCAGUAAUAAUUGAUCUUCCCAGAACUGAUAAGGUUUGGAAAAUGUAAGCAAGGAGAGCAGCAGCGAGCCAGAUGUCAGCAUUAAGAGAAUAUAAUUGCUCUGAAUUAUAGGAAAAGAAAUGAUUUCCCUUCCAGCCUUAGCUCCAGAAGAGCUGAGCAAAGUGUCACGAAGCACCAAGGAGCUUCCCAUAAACUCGGGGCUUAGCACAGCCUCCGUCUCUCUGCAAGAAGAUUUGGGUAGCUGCGGGACUAGAAUCCUCUGAGCUGACAGGCAGAUUUCCCACCUGCAAUUUUUUUGGCCUCCAGGUUUUUCUUUGGAAAAUGUCUGCACAGCCAGUGACUGCUGGGGAGGGAGAGAGGGAGAAAAGAUGCACCACCCUUCUAGAGAGACAGCCAGGUGCAGCCAGAGUUGUUGGCCCAGCGGUGGCGGUCUCCUGUGAGCUCGUUUCUUCUUCCUCUUUGCUGCUGUGAAAGUCAGAUGGGACAGUGUCUUAGUUACUUUUCUCGUUGCUGAGACAAAAUACCCAACACCCAAAGUUAAAGGAGGAAAGGUUUGUUUAGCUCACAGUUGGUAGAGGUGUCAGUCCAUAAUCGGCUGGCUCCAAGGCAGGGUGGCAUGGCAGAGAAGAAACAGUUCGUGGUGGGCAGAAGGUAGUAGAGCAACAAGGGACGGCCACAGCUCUUUCUACCUCUUAUGUCUUAUCCAGGCUACUUAGGGCAGGUAGCACUCAUGCCCUUAGUCCUACUGCCCUUGAUCCUAGCAUUGCGCCAUAAAUCAAUUCCAGCAUCACACACUGUAGAUCCGGCCACCUCUACCUAUGACCAUGAGAAGCUUUGGGGGCACAUCUAAACACAAGCCAUAACAGACAGACGGGAUGGAGGCAGGGAUCAUCUAUGGUUCAGGGGGGUGGAGAAUAGGAUGCCUCGGGCACUUUCAUUAUGAGCUUCUCAUUCUUCCAGGACUCAUUCAUUUGUUCAUUCAAGCAUUCAUUCAUGUGCUCCUUCAGCACAUCAUUCUCUGCCAGGCACCUUAGGUGCUGGGAGCACAGGGGUGCCUGCCUUUCUGGCUGUGAAGGCGUAGACACUGGACAGUUAGUGAUUACAUCCCAGUUGCCACGGUGCUCCAUAGAAAUGAAAAGGGAAAACUGAGGGCCAGACCAUAGGAAUGUGACCUCGUCUUGGAGUGCUGGCCUUGUGGAGCAGUGUCUAAGCCACAACUUGACUGAUGGGUAGGAUGGAGCAAGGCCAUAGGUUGUCAGACUCAAAUGUGCAGUAGAGUCACCUGGAGGUUUCCUUGAAAGGAAUGUCUAACCCCAUUCCCGGACCUUCCCCAUCACUGGUUCUGGAAGCGGUCCAAGAAUUUGCACUUCUCAGAAAUUCCUGGGUGACACUGAUGGUGCUGGUCCAAGGCCCACAUUUUGGGAACCACUUAAGUAUAAAUAAGAGGAGAGGGCAUUCAAGUUGUGGAAACUGCAUGUGUGAAGGCCCUGAAGUGGUAGGAGCUUAACAGUCUCCAGGAACAGAAAGGAGGGUCAGAAUGGUGAGAGCAAAGUAAAGGGAUGGUGGAGGAUACAUUGGAAAAGCAGUCAGGCUCUGAUCACACUGGCCUGCACGCUGAGCUGGAGAGUUCCCGUUUGAUCUGAAAUCUGGGGAGGCUUGAAGCAGGAAGGGCCAGCAUCUGGUUUCUAUCUUAAAAUGUCCUUUUUGGUUGCUGAGAGGGAAUGAGAUGGCAGAGAAUUAACUGCUUGGGGCGGGGGAACCCCUCAUGGUGGCAUCCAGGCAGUGACUGGACCAGGCUGGUGACAGAGGACAUGGAGAGGCACAGGACAUGUCUGAGUGUUUUGAGUCCAGCCUCCCACUUCCCAGGAUCAGCGUGCGUCCACUCUUCAAUCCCAGAAACUCAUGUUUUAUCUGAGGAAGUCAUACGUUGAUAGCGACAUUGUGGUCAGAGCUGACUCUAGCUUCCCUGCAGCCCCCUGCUGCCACACAACCCCUCUGACAGUGGGUGGGUCUAAAACACUUGACCAUUGACCAGCUAGGAUCCCGCCUGUGACCUCAUUUUCCCAAAUAACCUAGGGGAAAAGAUGGAGUUGGCCAAUGCCAAAAAUUGGGGUUCGCAAAGGGUGAGGGAUUCUCCCAGGCUCACCCAGCUGGGGUGAGUAACAGGCAGGGCUCCCCACCUGGCCUGAGAUGCCAUCUGCUAGGCAGACACGGGAGCUGACACCUCCAAUGGAGUACCUCAGAAGGUGACCACAUUCCUCUCCAGUAGCGUGAGCCAUCUGUCCCCAGGAUGCUGGCCAGUCCACCAGAAACAUUCAGAUGAAAUUACCACUUGGGGGCGGUCAUAUGGUCACAUAUCAGCAGUUUCCUAUGGUUCAACCUAAAUCAAAGUACGAGGGGGUUGCAUUUCUAGAAAAUUCUGCCGCAGCAGGAAGAAGAGGAACGCUGUGCAGUCUGAACCCUCUCUGUGAGCCACUUCCCACAUGCAAAAGCUGAUGAGGGGCCGUACAGGGAUGCAGCAUCUUAGAAUCAGUCUAUAAUGCAAUCAAUUUUGUAUAUCCCUGGUGAAACAGCAACAUUUAUUUAACGUCUUUUAUAGAGCAGCUGAGUUUUAUCACAAAUCACAUUCCAUUUCUAUUCAUCUGGGACUCCUUGAAGGCUAAAAUGCACUUACUUUUCUCAGAGGAAAUUUACCAAUUCCUCAAUAAAGACCAUUUGCCUCUGUAUGUAAAAUUGACACAUUUAUUGAAUAUUAAACAUUUAAGGGGUUUUUUUCCAGCUCACCCACACCUCCUUAUACAUUUCCACGAAGCUUCAUAGUCACCAGGCUUCCCCGAAUGGUGAGAAAUGGGACAUUUAAAUUGGGGCUUUCUUAUUACUGGAAAAUGGUCGUGUUACAUCAUCAACGUAUACGGCAACACCCAAGCUCAGAGUAGCCUCUUGAAGCCAUGUGCUUUUGCUGUCUCUCUGUGGUAGACUUGGUCACAGGGCCAUACUGUGUUGGGUUCAUGAUAAAAGUUUUUUUGCCUACACUUGUAACAUUUGCAGAAGGCAGGCACUGCCUCCCUGACAAUAAAUUGUGCUAAUUAGCAUGAGGGCCUAUUAAUAAAGCAAGUUUCCUUUUAUCCAUGUUCCUGAAUGGUUGGGGACAUCAAUUAAAGUGCGUGCUUGGGACAAUGUCUUUUCACUGCUAGUUGCUCUGUUUUUGUUUUAAGAAAAAAAAAAAAAAAAAACAGGGGGCUGGGCAACUGAUUGUUUUUGUGUCCUCAACAUGAGAGAAGGCUGAACUGUUGAACUUGGGGCUCAGUCACCAGGUCCACAUUUCCUAACUGCGAUUCUCAAAGCGUGGUGGGGGAGGGCGGUGAUGGGUGCUUACCCUGGAUUUAAUUUUAAAUUAAAAGCAUUGGGAACUGUGCUUUAGAGCAAAUGGGUUGAGUUGGAGGGGUAUCUCAUGAGGUUGGCAAGCAGGCAGACUCAAGUUCAAAUCCUGGCUUCUCUAUUUACCAGCUUUGUGACCUCAAACUAGUGAUUUUACUUCUUUGAGCCUCAGUGUCCUAUACAAUAAGGAUAAUCACAGUGCCUAAGUCCUAGGGCUAGCGAUAGGAUUAAAAGAGAUGAUCUAUAAGGAAGUUCUGGAAGGAACCUCAAACCCCAGCCCCCAGAUUCAGGCUUGAGUUUCCUGCUCACAGAAAUCAGUUGAUCAGUUGAUGCUGGGAUGGCUUUGGGGACGAAGGACUCACUGCUGGUCACCAGGGCCAUCAUCCUUAUGUUGGUCUGAAACCUGUCUGUGGGAACUUCCUUUGCUUACCUGGAUCUGAGCUUCUCUCCUAUCUAGUCCUCUGUGCUCCGAGGGAACCACCUGUCACUUUUUGUAGAGCCACGUGCUCAGCGUUGUGCACGGUUGACAUUUCAGACCGGGUGGUUGUUUGUUGCAGGGAGUGCUGUGGGCACUGCAAGGUGUUUAUCAGUGUCCCUCCCUGCCCUCUGCCCCUAGGUCCCCAUAGCACCCCUCUCCAGUUGUAAUAAUCAAAAUAUCUCCAGAGGGCUGGGGCUCAGUGGUAGAGCACUUGCCCAGCAUGCGCAAGGCUCUGGGUUCCAUCCCCAGCAUUACAACAACAAUAAAAAGUAUCUCUGCCCACUGCCAAAUGUGUAGGAGAGUCCUGAUUGAGAACUACCAUUCUAGAGUUUGGGUCUUCCCAGUGCCGGCCUCCUCCAGCCACGCACGUUCCAUCUCUCCUCACUGCCCCCUUUUUCAUGCCCACCUGCCUGUGUGCCCAACAGAAGCUACAACUCAGAUCCUGAGAACCCAGUGGCAAACACCAUGAGAAGCCAAAUCCCAUGGCCUGGGUUUUUUUAGGGGGUGGGGUGGGGGUUGUGUUUUUUCCUGCAGCUGCCUUUGCUGGGCUUCCUCAUAGGAAUUUCCAGUCUGGGCACAGGAAUGGUAAGUUCUGGGUGUCUUGAAGCUUCUGUCUAUUUCUUUUUUUUUUUAUGGUACCAGGGAUUGAACUUGGGACCUUGUGCUUGCAAGGCAGGCAGUGGAAUCACUGAGCUAAAUCCCUGGCUUGAAGCUUCUGUCUGAACAAGAAGAGCUAACUUUUCCCAGAGAGAAGGUCAUGGUCACAGCAGGUCUCUGUCUGGGGUUGGCCCAGGUCUGGGUUCGCAGACUUUGCCCCUGGCUAUCCCGGUAACCAUACUUCUCCGAGCCUCACGCAAAUAAUGGGACAAAAAUAGUCACUGUCACAGGGGGCUAUUGCCACAAUUCACCUUCUCACCUCACAGAAAUCUGUACUAUUCUUAUAUUUUUUUAUGUACCAGUCAAAACAAUAAUUUUUAAAAAUAAUAAAACCAUUUAAAAAUCAAAGAGUCACUCCAUACAGAAUGCCCAGCAUAUAGUAAGAAAUCAAUGAUUUUUUGCUAUUAUUUUUUGUUAUUGUUGUUGCUUACAAAUAAGAAACAUACAUCCAAAGAAUGAAUGUAAUUCGCCCAAGGUCACCCUGCAGGUCAGUGUGAAAACAUCGAGCCCAGCAUCUUUUUCCAGAAACCCCAGGGUUUUCCACAAAGGUCUGUGUGUGCAUACAGAGGAAGAGAUUCGAAGAGAAUCCAUUUUAUGUGAUUCUCACCCUAUUAACAGCCCUCGGUUUUGCCAGAAUAUCCUCUUUUCACUUUCAUUUUAAAAACCCGCCAGUGUAAUAAAUCUUGCUCUGAAAUCUCGGCAGCACAUCUUGGCUGGAGUGUAUGAUAAAUCUAAUAUACUGUGGCCUCUCUGUAUGAGAGACCCUGGGACAUAUCUGUAUUUUGGGCGGACAGCCCCAUGGUCUGGCAGGAUUGUAACUUGCUCUUGGGUUGACAAGACCAGCCCUCUGACUGGGUUUAUCUCUGCUCCGCAGCUUCCCUGGCUUGAUGAGGGUAGACUCACAACCCUUUCCUCUCCUUUUCCACUUUCUUUCCUUCUUCUCUCUUUCAUUUCUUUCCUUCCUUCUUUCUAGUCUGGCUGUUCCCUUCUCACAUUUCGUUCACAGAAUGUGACUCAGAACUAGGGAAGAAUUUGGAAGGGACUCAGCUGGGGUUGGGGGAGGCCAUAGGGCACCCAUUUGGACUCUGUAGACUUGGGGGACACUGGCAGAGCAGGACUCCCUACUUUGAUUGCUCAGCAAAUAUUUCUUUAAUACCUCCUGUGUGCCUGACAUUGUGCUGAGAGCUGAGUGUAGAGUCGGAGGCCAGUGGAGAGGCAUAUUUACAGGCAGCCAUCCGAAAUGAAGUCCAGUUAUGGAAGCCCAGGAUGAGAGCUCAGAUGUUCCUACAGUCAUGGCAUCUUAGAUCCGGACCAGAGCAUGGUGGGCAUUCGCUAGACUCAGGGGAGCCCACAGCCCAAGAGUGGGAGUGACAGGAGGGCAGGGGCCAACAUGGGGCAGGGCCAGGCUGAGAGGGGCUGGGCACAGGCCCAUCAGGCUUUUGCUCCUACCUGGGACAGCCCAAUCCAGAGGGUUGGGAGGAGCAGUUUCUUUUUUCACAUUUCCUGCCUGGGGCUGGAGCGGGAGCCCUGUGAGGGGCUGGGACUCCCCUCCUCCCCUCGGAGCCCUGCAGGAACCCAGCAAAGCCCCUGGAAAACCUGGAAACAGUCUUCAAAGGGGUCAGGACUUUGCCCAGUCCCAGCCCCACUCCUCACUGGCCUGCUUACUUCCCCAUCCCGAGCGUGUUUCUCUGAGGCGCCCCUGUGAAACAGGGGUAGUGUCAGUACCCCUUGUGGAGGAGUAUUAGAAAGACAAGUCAUCGCUUCUCGGCCUUUUGGCUGAGAUCAAGUGUAGAAAGACAAGUCAAGGAAAUGCGUUUUGGGUACACAGAACAGGGAACUCUAUAAGCACCUGAGAAAUGUUCAUGAUCAAUUUUAUUUACUCACAGCAUGGCCCUCAGAGGGUUAACUUUGCCUCUUAGGCCUCAGUUGCUAAUCUGCAAAAUGGAGAUAAUAAUUUUCUGGCUUCACAGUGUCACUGAGAGGAUGAAAUGAGUCAGAGCCAUGCCUGGCACAGAGUAGGGCUGAAACGUUGUAGCUGUCACUACUGGUACCGUCGUCAUUGUUACUCCUCUCUCCCCUUCAGUUCCGCAUCCCAGGUUGGUCACAGGCUACAUGACACCUGCCUCACCAACUAUUCCUUCUACCUCAUCCUGCCGAACCCUGAAAAUUGCUUCUCUCUGCCCAGGAGGCUGUAAGCGUCUGCCAAAGAAGUUUUAACAGUAGGAUAUUCAGAUCGUGGACUACAAAAUGGUCACUCAGCUCUUAGAUACCCCUGUAAAGGAGAAUUUGGGCCUUCACAACAGGCUAAGGGAUCGUUUCUUUGGGGUCCCAGGAUGGCAUUUAUUAUCGACUGUGCCGGAACAGUCUUUGCAGAGCUCCAGCAGCUGCAGAGAGAAGAAUGCAAAAGUCUCCUUAAAUUAUCUGAUUGAAAUAACCGGUGGAAUAUUCCGCGGGGCCACCGCGUGCCAGGGAAGCCGCCUUUGGGGUGGUCUGUCAGAGGCGGUUUGCACAUUCUGAAGAACACAGGAGUUUCAUUGCAGCAAAACAGAUGUUCAUCUUGUUUCUCCAUCGGCUGUUUGAUGAGAAAUUUAUUGCUCUUCCGCUGGGCAGGAGGCCCCUCUCGGCUGUGGAGUCUAUUAGACAAGCCAGCAGCUGGCAGGAAGCCAAGGUGAGGCUGUUUUGAUGAAACCCAUGAAAAGCUUUGGCUUCAAGGCGCCGGUAAUAAUGCACUGGCUAGACUCUCCUGAUUGGGCGAUUGAUUGGCCUGAUUUGAUUUAUUGAUCAAUACCCUCAAAUUUGGCGUCUGAGAAGCUGCACUAAUCUUUAACUGUUGUGAACAUCUCUGCCUGCUGGAGAAUGAGCCCCUGAUAAGGAAUGUAUGAAAGGAAUCGGGGCUUAUCUUAAUCACACACUGGGCCCCGGCACUGCCCGAGCUGGCGAGGGCCUCCGCGCGCCAGCCCCAUCCCGGGCAGGCCUGUGCAGAUCUAUAAAUUGAUGGAAUUCAAAGCCUCCAGCAUCGAUUACCGUUAUAACAAACAGUGGUGCACAGAAUGUCUGAUUAUUUUUAGACAAAGAUUCUGUUCUCUCAGCAGCAAUUUUGCUGAGGCUGUCACUGACUCAGAUGUCUACUGUUGAUUGCAAUUAGAUGCGAUACAAAAAAAAAAUUAAACUCUCCACAUCCUUACUCUUAUUUCCAGUUAUUAAAUCUCUCUCUUUGUUUGCUGUUUCCUCAUGAUAUCUACAGCUGGAUGAAAUAUUCAGUUUGCAGGAGAAAUCCCUGGAAUCCAGUGGGACGGCGGUGGCCGAUCGCUCACUGGAUUAUGUCUGAUGGGGCGCACCUAAUCUUAGGGGGAGGGGAGCCCAAUGACGGUGCAUCCGGAGGUCCAUUUAAAAGUGUCUGAGGGGAAGGCUUGGGCAGGAAGGUUUCCGGGCAGGCUCAGGGAUAAAAAUCAAUCUCCAAAUCCCUCCCAAUGCCUCUGAUGCAUUUAGUCUCUUUUCCCAUGCAUAUGGGGCAGGUCCUAACCAGGGAUGUGCCCCACCCCAAGGGCCUUGGAGGUUAUCCAAAGCCAUCAGAGCUCAAAGGUUGGCGCCACUUGAAAUAAUUAAUUCCUCCAAACCCAGACGGUGCUCCGGACCCCUUCCACACUAAAUCAUAACCUGAAGAGCAGGCUCCAGGUAAUUGUGGGGACAAACAAAUUAGGCAUUCCCUUUUACACGCAGUCUGGCGGCCAGCAUCUUGGCAUUGGGCGAGUCCAUUCAUCAUCCUGAUGCUCUCCAGUUGAUCUGUCUUCUCAGAGCCAUUAGCCCCAGAGUCCUUGACGGUGGAACAGCUGUAAACUUGAGACCGUCGGUGGGGUGGCCAAGACUGACAAUUCAUUACACAGUUGGAUGGAGAAGAAGGCUCAGGUGACAAUGCCAAGGCCUUCCAGUUCCCAGGCGCCAGAUCUGCAUGGAAUUGGCAACUGCCAGCUAAUUUUAGAAUGCUGAGAACUGGGGGUCCGGAAGGAGGGGGUGGCUGCUCUGACUUUGGGGUCAGACAAAUGGGUCCUGCAGAAAUUGGCUGCACUCAGAAAGCCACCGAUCACCAAGGGGAGCAUGGGCAAGGUCAUCUUCUGGUGGGCUCGGGACACUGGUUCCUGAGCCAGCCCGGGGUCAGACAUUCAAACACCCCAGGAAGGACGCUACUCAGGAUGAGUGGAGCAGACUCCAAGGCUUCCGAGGGCAGGUGAGAGCAGGGUGGAUCUGUUCAGUGAUCACCAGGGUAACUCCUGCCAUUUGUUCAUCAUCAGUUACUCCAGGUCCGAAGGCCUACGCCUCCUACUGUCCAUUUACCCUCAGAGGGUGGGAAGAUCCCGAAACUGAGGCUCUGGGAGAGGCCUGGCCAAGGUCACACAGCAAAGAAGUGGUGACACUGGAAUUCAGAUUCAUUUGGCUCAAUCAGUAUUUGCUGAAGAGAUGAAUGAAUGACGCAGAGGCUUCCAGUGGGGACUCCUGGAUAGCCAAGGUUGAAAAGACCUCCAGGCAGGCCCAGCAUUUGAGCUGCUAGGGCAGCUCCUGCUUCAUCCUCAUGGCGCAGAGCUAUGCCCAGGCCCCAGCACCCUCAGUGAGAAGAACCAGUUUGAUGUCACCAGGAAGCUCCAUCAGAGAACACAUCAGGGUCUGACCGUAGGGAGGAGCAAUACUGGGGUCUCAGGAAGCAGAGUGAACUCACUGGUCCCCUGGCCGGGACAGACACCCUCAGCCAGAUAGCACUGCAGUUGAUAGUUUAAACCCUGAAGUCAGACUGACCUUGGUUCGAAUCCCAGGGUCAUCAUGCUCUUAGUUCUUUGUGACCUUGGACAAGUGAUGAGCUUAUCUGGGCUUUUCCCUCUCAAGGUGACUGUGAGGACAUAGCGAAGUGACGCACAUCACAGUGCCUGGCACAUGUUUAAUGGUGCAGUCCUUGUGGUCUAGGGGAUGUGGGGACACUCUGCACCCCCUGGCGGACAGUUGUGACUAACAAAUGCAUUUGGCUCAGAAUUCCAAGCCAGGGCAAACAGUCAUCCAAUAACCUCUCUGAAGUCACAGAGCAAGUGACCGGCCAACUCACCGUCUUAUCACCCACUGUCACCCUUUUCUGGACAUAUUGUCUGUGUCACUCCCCUCUUUCCCUGUCACAUCCUUGAUGUCCAGCCUGCUUAGGACAGGUGGUCCCGGCACGCUGUGGGGAGGGCAGCAAUCCCCCACAGGUGGGUGGGGCAAGCUGGCAACAUCUAUCACAUUUACAAAUGUGCUUGCCCCAUGACUGGCCCUGCCUCGUCUAAGAACUUACCUUUUAGGUACAUUUGUCUUUUUAGAUAUGUGGUACCAAAAUGAACGUCUCACAUUGAUGUGGCAUCAACAGUAAGAGCAAAGCCUUGCACUAACCAAAGUGUCCAUGAGUUGGGGAUUGGGCAUAACCUAAGUGUCCAUGAGGGGGCCCUGAUGCACAAAAUAAGGUGCAUCCACACCAAAUACUCUGCGCUUGUAGAGAGGGAAAGAGAUGCUCUUUAUGUCCUAAUGAAAAGAGGCAGAUACGGUCAAUCCUCUGAAAAUGGCACAUUGUAUAACACAGUGUGUAAUAUGCUCUGGGUAAAACGAAAGGAAAAAAGGGAAAUGGGUAUGUAUUUGCUUGGAUAUUUAUGGAAUAUCUUCGGAAGGACACAAACAUGCUGGACACCUCUGGAGAAAGGAAUUUUAAUGUUAAAUCCUAUCUCAGUAAAAUGUUACUCUUUUUUUUAAAAAAAAUGAUAUAAUGGAAAGAGCUUGGACUCUUGGAGUCAAAUAUGGAAGCAAAUACUGACUCUAUUACUUACUGGCUGGGUGAUCCUUGAUAAGCAACACCAACUCUUUGUGCCUCGGGUUUGGGGGUUUCUUUUGUGGAUUUUCGUCAUUUGUUUGUUUUUGUUUUGUGGUACAGGGUCUUGUGCUGCUAGGCAAAUGCUUUACCACUGAGCUACAUCCUCAACCCUCUUCAAUUUUAUUUUGAGACAAGGUCUCGCCAAGUGGCCCAGGCUGACCUCAAACUUGAGAUCCUCCUGCCUCAGCCUCCCUGUCAGUUGUGAUUGCAGGUAUUCACCAAUGCAUCCAGCUUUGCCUCCGUUUUGAUGCCUAUAAAAUCAUGACAAUGUGGGGAGUGGCAGGUGUCUGAGAUAUGCAUCAACCAUAGUUAUCGGUGGUUAUUGUCUCCAGCCCCAGGCUGAAAGGAGGGGCUGUUUAUGUCAGCACUGGGCGCAGAGUCCUUCCCAGGGGUGCCCAAGCCCUAGCCUGUGGGCAGGGUCCUGAGGAUGAAGGCAGCUCCCUUAGCCUCUCAAGAGACAUGACACUCACUCAGAGCAGCCCCUGACCCCAUUAGCCUGGAAGGCUCAGUGACAGAUCCUCCCCAGAGCUCAGCUCCCAGAGGUUGAAGUUCCUGUAAUGAGACUCAGUUCCCAGCUCGGCCAAGAGGGUCAUGGUGGGGGCUCUGUACGUGGAGCUGCUGAUGUGAGGUAGGAAUGUCAGGCAGCUGUUCUCUCUCCUUGUCUCAUCUUCUCUCCUGAUCUCCUCUGCCCAUCUCUUCCUCCCUCCCUCUCUCUGAAUUCCUCCUUCCCUCUUGGUUCUUCUGCCUUUCUACUCCCUCUGCACCUCUCUCCCAUAGACCUUCUUCUCAGAACCUAAGCACUUACCGGGGCUUCCUAGAAGCUGUGAACCUUAAGCUGAGACCAGAAUGAAUUAGACAAUGAGGUGGUAGCUAGCAAGGGAGCAGUCCAGACAGUGAGGACUGCAUGUGCAAAGGUCCUGAGGUUGGGUGGGACUGCAAGCUGAGUAUUCACUUCACACCCAGAGACUCCAUGCAGCAAACCUCCUGCUGUACACAGGGUAGGAAGGAUGGAGCAUGGAGCCAGAAGUCCUCGGAUUUGCUUUCCAUGCCCACUGCCUGCCAGCUGUGUGACUUUGUGUGACCUUCCCAGUCUGAGGCUCUGCUUUCUCCUUGUGGAGAUGGUGAUGGUGUAAACCUGAGAGGGUCACUGUACACAGCAGUAUUCGUAAAUGUGCUGAGCGCAUGCUGGUGCUCGCCAGGGUUCUGCUCUUUGUAACCUUGUUGGGCUCCCUGAUGCACUGUGCCCCCGGCUAGGAAUCCCUGUCGUAUGGGCAGCUGGCGGGAGGCUCUGAACCUGCAUCUCAUCCGUUCUUCCUUGGAACCCAGGCCUGCGCAGAUGUGGCCCGAAUGCUCCUGCUGCCUCGGGGGCUUGCGUUUGCUGUGCCCUUUCAGUAAAAGGCUCCUCCCCGACAUAGCUGUGUGCCUUGACUGGCUGCCCCCUGUAGGCCUUUACCAAAAGUCCCCCUUCACCAGGCAUAAUGGCUCACAUCUGUCAUCCUAGCUGCUGUGGAAACUGAUGCAGGAGGAUCACAAGUUCAAGGCCAGCCUGAGCAAUUUAAGAAGAGCCUAUCUCAAAGUAAAAUUUAGAAAGGGAUGGGAAGUAGCUCAGUGGUGGAGCACUUACACACAGCCGCCCUGGGUUCACUCCCUAGUACCAAAAGGAAAAAAGGAAGUUCCCUCCUCAGAGGCCUGCCCUGGCUGUGUCCUCUGAAGCCCUCCCACCCCUUCCCUCACCUCUCCUGGCCCCUUCCCUGCUUGAUCUUUCUCCCUCCCUGUGUCCCUGCUUAAAAGCAUUCGGUAACCCCCCACUGCUCAGCAGAGAUCUUUGUGGCCCUGGGGUAUCCUUGGGGCCUGCCACCCCCACGUGAAGAUGUAUGACGGGCCCUGUAUGCUCAUGACAGGCUGCUGGGUUAUCCGAGGCAGCAGUCAGUGACACCCGUCCCUGCAGAGCUCUGGUGGAAGUGGCUUCCCCAGCCCCCUCCCAGGGACUGCAGACAGACUGGCCCGUGGCUGCUUCCUCACCACUGGCUUCGGCUCACAGAUGUCCAUCUCAGGGGCAGGGGUGGUGGAGACCAGAGCAGGCCUGGGAUCCUGGCCAUGACCUGGUGCAAGUCACGCCCCCUGGCUGCAUGUAGGAAAUUGAUAGAGUCACAUCCAUCUGCCUCUGGCUGCUGACUACAGGGCUGCUAGUCUUUGGGACUGGCUCAGGGGCUGACAGGCCAUUGUGGUCAAAAGCUUGGGUAGUGGAACCAGGCUGCCUGGGUUCGAUUCCAGCUUUGCUCUUUGCUUGCAGUGUGCCCUGGGGCAGGUAAGUUGACCUCUGUGCUUUAGCUUCCUUGCUAGAGUGGGAAGCGUGACUAAGGACUGUGAUGAGGAUGAAGGGUGUUCAUGUGUGCACAGGUGCUCGGUCUGUGUUUGGUGGAACAAGCAGGUGUAGUUGGGGGCCCUUGUCUGUGGCUUCUGUGUAAAUGCUGUCCCAGACUUGAGGCUAGUUCCUCCACGGGCCUUGCCAGGCUGCCAAAUGGCUAUGGCACAGUUUUCUCUUUCCUUUCCAUUGAUUACCAUUUGGUUAUGGCGGGUGCAGUUGGCACAGGUAGGCAAAUGCAGCCUUGGGUCCUCCCCUCCAUUCACCAGGCUUUGGACCAGUGCGUUGGUUCCCCCGCACCCUCCAAAGUGACCAGGGAAGCUGUUUCUUGAUAUCAUCGUGAACUCUUGGAUUUAAAUCUCUGGUGGAUUCAGUCCCUUGCAGUCACUGUCCUUGAAGCUCAAGUCCCUGCCCCCCUUGCCUGUAGGAUCCCCUUUAAAUCAACACCUGUGGCCUUAACCUUGACCAAGUCCCCUUGAGGGAGGUGGGCAGUACAGGUGAUAACAAGGUGAAGCUCCAUGAGGCCUCAGGACCUGCUUUGGAUGCUGUGAGUCAUGGUGACAACCUAGAAUUAGAUGCUUGAUGUAGAAGAAAUAAAGGAGAAGCCAGGCAUGCAUAGGCCUAGGCACAGUGUCUGAUCCUGCCCACUUUCUGGCAACAUACCAAGCCCCUCUAAACUUCAAUUUAUCCAUCUAUAAAAUGGAGUUAAGCCAGGCAUAGUGGUGCAAGUCUAUAAUCCAGGCUGCUCCAGAGGCUGAGGCAGGAGGAUCGCCAGUUUGAGGUCAGCCUGGGCAACUUAGCAAGAACUAUCUCAAAAUAAAAUAAAAAGGGCUGAGGGUGUAGCUCAUUGAUAGGGUGCACAAGCUCAGUCUCCAAAAUGACAAAACAUUUUAAAAGGAGAUUAAUAACAUUGACAACCUGGGAUAUGUGAUAGUUUAAAUGACAUCAUUGUGUAAAGUCUUUGGCACAGGGCCUUGUACCCAGCCAGCAGUCGGUGAGUGGCAACAGUAUUAUCCUCAGGAUUAUUAUCAUCAGGACUCAGUAAGACACCAACCCACAGAGAGCUGUGUGGGACCCAGUGCUCCCUCCUUUCUUCCCUUCCCAAGGGUCUCCAGACUCUCCCCUCCUUCAGUGUUGGAAUGGGGUUUCUCAAAGGACAAAGUCAGAGACCUCACCCACUUUCUAAUGAAUCUUUCAAGCUGGAUGCUGUUCAGAGAAAGAAACCUAAUUUUUUACUAGGUUUUACUUUGUCAUCUGACCUUCUAGGCCAGCUCAACAUUUCCAGGGUUGCUGGGCCUCUGAAAGCCAUUUGUAAGCCUUUAUAGGUGACCCCCAGCCCCAGCCCCUCAAUCUUUCUUUGGUCACAUCACUUCCACUUCCACGACAGAGCUGUCCCCUGGCUCAAGUCAGUGACGGGUGGGUCAGACAGAGGCCUGGCUGCCAGUCACCUCAUAACCCAAAAGCCAUCAAUCCAGUGUUUUUACUGAGUCAUUUUGAUUUUAAAGUUGGCCUUUCUGUUUCACUUUCUUACCUGCCCUCAAGAACAUAUUUUCAAAAACCCUAAGUGAGCCAGCCAGGCUGUGGCUCAGCCAUUAAAAUCGAUGAGAGCCGAGCAUCACCUGAUGGAGGUGCUCUGGAACGCUUUGCAAAUACAUCUUUUGGCUCUGGAGCCCACCUCUUGCCUUGUUCAUUCAGCAGGCAUUUAAUGAACACCUACUGCACACACAUUCCUGAAUGGGUGUUCUCCCUCAAUUGAUAGUUACUACCAUAGUAUCCACGGCAUCAGGAAUAAAGAACAGAAGUAAUGGAGGAGACGGAAGAGGAUGGAGGAGAAUAGAGAAGUGCUGGGGCAGGAAGGGCCAGCUCUGCCUUGUGCCCAAGGAAGCAGGCACUGAGUGCCAGGUGUCUUCAUAGGCCUGAGACACAAUAGAAGAGACACAGAUCCUACCAUCAGCCUUGAGUGGGGGAGACUGCAUAAGACAGACAGAUCUGGACAGCCUGCAGAAUGCUGUGAAGGAAGCCACCAGGCUGAGAGAAUAAGAACAGGAUCUCCUGCAGUAUGGAUGGUGAAGAAGGCCUGGAGGAUCCAGUUACAGGGACGAGAGAUCAAGCAAGGGGCAGCAACAGGUGCAAAGGCCCUGAAGUGGCUAAGAAAGUCAGAGUGGCUGUAACCCGGAGACCAGGAGAGUGUGAGGGAGAGAAGUGGGCAGAGCCUGACCACACUCCCCUUGCUGACCCAGGUGAAGACAUGAGAUUUCAGCCUCAAGAGUGGCAGGGUAGCACCUUUCUUUGUCAUGACAGAGUUUUUAGGCCAUGCAGUGAUGGCUUCUGAUUCAUGUCUGUGAAUGCACAGCAGGAGGACGGGGAGAGACUGUUGCACCAGUCCAAGCAAUGAUGGGAGUGUGGGGCAGUGGAUAUGAUACAUAUGGGCACAUUCAAGGGAAUUUUGGUUAGAGGAAAGUUUCCCCUCCCACCCCCUGGAACAUUCAGAAAAAUGCCCAGAUCAAAGGGCACAGCUCAGCAAAUGGCCACACCAAACACACCAGCCCUGAGACCAAGCUGCCCCGUCAGCCAGAAACGUCUCUUGGACCCUCUGCAGUCUAUGUCCUCGAAGACAGAACCACGAUCCUGACUUCUCUGGCCAGUGUCCAUGCCUCACGUGAAUGAAAUCUUACAGUGUGUUUCCUUUUGCAUCUAGCUUCUUGCUCAACAUUACGUGUGUAAGAUUUAUCAAUAUUGCUUCUUGUUGUAGUUCAUUCAUGCCCGAGGCUGCGCUGUAGUAUUCCGUGGGGUGAAUACAUCACAGAGUUAUUUAUCCAUUCUAUGUUAAUGGGCAUUUGGGUUGAUUCCAGUCGGGUGCUAUUAUGAAUGGUGCUUCUGUGAACAUUCCAGACCGGCGCUUCUCAAACUUUAAUGUACACAUGAAUCACCUAGAGAGCUUGUUAAAAUACAGAUCCAGAUGCCAGAGGUAGGGGAGGGGCCUGAGCUUUUACAUUUAUAGAAAGUUCUCGGGUGAUGCUGGUGCUGCUCACCCACAGGUGUACUUUGCAAAGUAAGACUUUAUUUUGGUGGAUUCAUGUCUCUGGGGCAGGUACCCAGCAGGGGACAUGCUGGAGCGUAGAGACACAUGUUCCCUUUAACAGACUCCACUGACACCUCCUCCAGCACUAUCUGAGGUUCUGGUUGCCUCUCGUCCUUGUCAGCCCUUAGUACUGUCUACCUUUCUCUGUGACCAUUCUGGUGGGUAGGCAGCCGCUUCUCAUGGUGGUCUGAACUUGGCCUUCUCUGAUGGCAGUGAGGUUCAGCAUCUUUUCCUGUGCCCACUGCCCAUUGGGUUCCUCAUUGGUGUGGCACUGGUCCAGUCUCUUGCCCGCUUUGAAGUUGUUUCUCUCUUUCUAACCGAACUUUUAGGAGUUCUCAAUUGUGGACACACUCCUUUAUCAGAAAAACUGCAUAUCCCUUCUCCCUCCCACACUGUGGCCUUUGCACUGUUAUUUCACCUGUUCUUUUAAAUUCAGCAAUCACUGCUGGGGGUGGGGAGGGGACAGUGAUUCUCUUUUGCUGUUCUAACCAGCUUACAGGGUGUCACCGGAAGGAUCAUUCUAUUGGUUUCUUACCCUGUCUACUGGCACUCUCAUCCACUUAACUGUGAGCUCCUUUGACCUUUUCCCGCCUCCUGAUGGUUUUGACUACCAGAUGAGUCCAUCUUUCCUGGGCAUCCAGAGAGGUGCCUGGGAUUGGUAGCAGAUCAACAGACCCCUUGUGGCUUGCAGAGAUAACAUUAGAAGGUGGUGGGUCCCAGCCCCACAGCCCAGAGGGGUGAAGCCAAGAGGGGCAGGUGGGGAGUCUGCCUCCCUCCCUGUGUGACUCCCGUGAGUCUCCUGUGAGCCCGACUUCGUUCUCAUCAGAUCAAGAACCUACACCAUCGUGCUUGCUGAGCGCCGGGCUUUGAAUCUGGGUGUGCAUGGGGCCCUGCAGUCCAGGCCUCUCCUCUCACCCACUCCCACCACGUUCUCCUAGAUGCUGGUCUCUAACCUUUCAUUUCUGGCUCAGCAGGGCUGCGAGGGUCCCCAGAACCCCCUGAGCACAGCUCACCAGCUCACAGACCUUGCACACCAGGAGCAUCCUACUGUCCCCGAUCCCCAGGAGACACCACUCCCCACUGGCACCCAUUGAGGACAAGCAGUGGAGGGGCGGAGCUGGAGCCUCCAAAGCUGGCCAUGCAGUGAUUGCUCACCUGUCAGCCCGUUUCCCCAGCCAUCGAUAAAGACCAUCGAUAAUGGUGGUACUCAACUUCAACUCAGAGCUGUUGGGGAACUGGCAAAAGUAACAUGUAAAGCACUGAGAAUGCGCCUGACCCGGAGUGAUCAUGAUGCAGCGCCCUGCUAUAACCAUUGCUAUUUCGAUUGUGACUCUUAGGGUGCCCAGCCCCCUUGCUCACAUUCUUUCUUCCCUCAAAUCUAAGAUCCCUGUGCCUUUCCUCACCUGCCAGCCUUUGGAUUUGCUGAUCCUGUGGCCUAGAGUGUGCUUUUCCCAUUCUCUUCCUGGAGACCCCCUCUUCAUGCCCCAAAGCCAGCACCUCCCCCCUUCAGGCACCCCUGCUGACCUCCUAGGUGGGGUACAGGUGCCCCAAGCUUGCCUGGGAGGUGCAUGGCUAGGCCUUAGGUUGUGGUGUGGAGAGCAGGACAGGGUCUCACAGUGCUGUUCAUAGAAGAGUGUUUACUGGGCACUUACCAUGUGCCGGCUCUCUGGCGAGGGCUUUUCAGUGAGAACCUCAUUUGGUUCCCCCACAUGACCACUGGUGACAGACACUCACCCCACUGACCACACUUCCCCAUCAGGACCCCAGGGAGGGGAAUGCAGCUUGGUCUGGGAUACAGAGCAGGACCAAGAAGCAUCGGUCAUGUCAACAGCUCUCAGGGUGGGUCAGUCACCCUCCCAAGGGUCCCCGAGUCCUUUUCAGGGAUUCCACAAGAUCAGAUUCCUUUUACAACAUAGUAAGCUGUGGUCUGCCCUCUUCACUCGUAGACUCUCAUGAAUAUAUGGUGCGAUUUUCCAAAAGCCUCACGAGGUGCAAUGAUGUCACCACUGAGGGCUAAUGGAGUGUGUGCUUGUGUCUUCUUGUGCUUCAAGAAUUUCUGUUUUAAUUUUCAGUGCGGUAAACAUCGAUUGCUCUAAUCUAUAUGGAUAGUGCUCUUUGGGGGCCUCAGUCAUUUCUAAGUAGGUAAAAGGGUCCUAAGACCAAAAAAAGAAAAAAUUGAGAGCUACUACAUUCAGUGACUAGGAAGGAAAGAAGGGAGAGUGUUCAGCGCUUGGACUCUGUGCAAGGGACAGUGGUUUGGAUGGAAUCCUAAGGCCCACAGGGGAGGAGAAGCUCUGGAGUCCCGGAGAGGCUGGCCUGGCAUUACUCAAAUCCCAUUGCCCCACUAUCCUUGAGCCCACAGAACUGCCCAGAAGCCUUUGACCCAGCGCAGGCGGACACAGCACCACCAACGGCCGGCUGCUCCAAGGUGUUUUCUACAGCAGAACAAUUUGAAAUAAUUAGAACUUUACAAAAUGUCUUUAAACACGCUGGUCAUGGGCAUAAGAAAACACUUGUGAAGUGUAAUCAGUUAUUAGCAGCUGAUCAAUUAUCCCCAUGGAUAGCUGUUGAAGGGGGAGAGGAGAAGCAAUAAUAAGCCCCUUGAUUAACUAAUUUGAAUAUCUUUGGAGAACAAAUUCCGAAAUUUCUUUCUAUUUUCUCAUGCUAUUGUAACGGGCUGCACAUCUGCUGGUAAGGCAAGAUGGAAAUGGUAAUGAGCACUGUGCUGUGAACGGGCUUCUUGUUUGGGAUCCAGGGAGGAGGCCCCGGGGGUUGUGGCCAACCAGCCGGGCCUGGGGACCUCAUGCUGGCUGGAAGGUGGGAAUGGGUGGCUGCGAUUAGCCCUGCCGUGCUAUGCAGCUUGCCAUCUGCCUCCCAGUGGAGUGUCAAGGUCAGAGAAGGUCAGGGGAGCAAGUUCCCGCAGGCUGAACGAGGGCUGAGGUGGGCAGCGCCCUCUGGGAAGCAGCACCGAUUCUCCUGAAGGCCCACCGGGGCCAGCUGGGGCUGGGGCAGUCCCAGGGUAGAGCAGACAGCUCGAGAGACCUAUGUUCUGGUCUCCUGUCAGCCUUGGGCUCCUCCUGAACCUCCCUAGGUGACAAGUUUAUACAAGGCAAGCGGAACAGGUCUGCACAAUGGUAAGGGCUCCCUUGUCCCCAGAGGUCUCUGGUUCCCAUAGGGAGGCAUGGGCACCUCACCCCAGUGGCCACCUCUCUUGCCAUCUUCUUGUGGUUAGAUCGAGAACCGGGUGCCAGGCACGCUGACUCACAGCCAGGUCUGCCACCUCAGCUGUGUGACUUUAGGCCAGUGACUUAAUCUCUCUGCGCUCAGCAUACUCAUCUGUAAACGGGUAAAACACCACUCACCUUGUGGGCCUCUUGGUAGCACAGGUCCACGCGUACUGUAAGCACGAUAAAAAUGUGAGUGGUAGUCGUUGUUAUUCUCUACCCCAUGUAAUUAACAGGCUAGACUGGAGUUUGCAAACUGGCAGGCCAGGGUCCAAAUCCCCCAAUAAAUCUGUUUGGUUUGGCACAAACUGCAUUGUUAGGUUUCUCUCUGAAUUAGUUGCCAAUAUUAAAAUUUGGGAGAUUUUCACAUUUUAAAAAACCUGGAUUUGGGGCUUUUCUGAGAAUCAGACUCCUGCAUAUACACUGGGCCCACAGACCAAGGUGGUGUCAAUGGGCCAGAUGUUCAGUUGAGCAUCUGAACCCCCUAUUAUGGGGCGAUUGUCACCCUGAGCCUUCAUCCCAUGCCAUCACCAGCUGGGCCCCUGUAGUCUCCUUCCUCUAAGCCUCUUGAGGUCAGCUGGGGACAGGUGGGCCGUGUUCCUGAUGUGCCUGGCACCUGUCACAUAGUAGGCACCUACUUACACUUAAAAGAGUGUGCAUUGCCAUUAGAGUCUCACGUAAUGCAGCAGGUCUAUUUAAUGAGGACCCUCAGCACCUGAGGAAGGGUGGCAAACUCCAGCCUCGAUUGUGUCUACUUGGGGUCUCCCAGUUCCCCAGCUCUCCUACCACCCAGUGGCCAUUAGAAGACAAUCUCAUUUUCCACCCUCUUCAUCUCCCUCUGUCUAGUCCUCCCCUCCCCUCUAUAGAUGUCCUAGAGACCCACACACAGUGGGGUCCAGUCGACCACCCUGGGACCUGGUCUGAGGCCCAAAGCACCAGAAAAAGCCACCGAUGGCCCCAGGACUUGCAGCCACUGCUCCCUGUUCAUUUCAUUCAAACACAAGCCUUUUUAAAUUUUUAGUUUGAAGGUAUUUUUUAAAAAUCUGAAACUACCUUUAAAAUCCCUCCUUUUCCCUCCCCUGACUAUUCCUUUGCUUAAAAAUGGCAUAACCGAUUUGGGUUAUUUUUAGAAAAAUGCCUGGCAUGUUGGCUGACAACCUGUAUUCUAAGUUUCAACCUGAUAGGGAAAAGACAGAGUUUAUAAACCUCUAGGGGGGAAAAGAAAAUACACAAAACAUUGCUUUGGAAUAGAAAUCAUUUGAAACUCACCCCAUAUGUCUCAGCCCCUGCGGUGUAACUGGGCACCAGCCACCAGCUUGAGAUUUCAAGGUUAGGGAGUGGAAUUUGUUCUGCUGAGCUUCCAUGCACAUUGCUGGGAGAAUGGGACACAGCAUCUGCAGCCUGAGAGAGGCAAGGUAGACGGGCAUGGGUUUGAGCCCUACUUCACUGUACUCUGUGUCAGUGAGCUGGAGAAAGAAGCACCUUCUCCGAGGCUUCGGUUUUGCUCUUUGGGAUGCGGGGAUGCCAUGACAGACGGGUGCCCAGUGACCUGGCCAUGACGUUGGUGAUUGUCAUGAUGCCACAAUCCACAGACAAGAACUCUGGAAACAAAACUUGGGCAAGCUUUGUGAAUAUGAGAGGCUGCUGAGCAUAGCUUGCCAACUUGAUUUGAGUAUUUUUGAACACCUUUAUUGAAGCAUGAUUUGCAUACUAUGAAAUUCACCAGCAGUACAUGGACAGUACAGUGGUUUUUAGUGUAUGGAUGAAGUUGUGCCACCAUCCCCACAAUCUACUUUUAGACAUUUCCAUCACCUUCUAAAAAGAUCUUCCGUGUCAAUUUACAGUCCCUUUUCAAUUCCACUCCCAGCGCCUGGCAACCACAAAUCUCCUUUCUGCCUUGGUGGAUUUACCUUUCCUGGUCAUUUAGUAUAAAUGGACUCUGCAGCCUGUGGUCUUCUGUACCAAGUUCUGUGCUUAGAAUCGCACUCCCCGGGUUCACUCAUGUUGUCAGGUGUCUGCGUAUUUUGUUCUUUUUAUUGCUAAACGAUAUCCUGAUGUAUGACUAGACCACAUUUUAUCCAUUCAUCAGCUGAUGGACAUUUGGGUUGUUUUCGCUCUUUGGCCAUUGUGACUAGAGCUGCUGUGAACAAUUUGUGUGCAGAUGUUUGUGUGAACAUGUUUCCAAUUCUCUUGGGUAGAGAAGUGGAAACCUGGGUCAUAGGGCACACUGAUGUUUAACUCGUGAAGGAACUACAAAACUGUUUUCCAAAGUGACUGUGCUGCUUUGCAUUCCUCUGGCAGUGCCUGGGUGUGAUAGUGUCUGUCUUCACUGAAAUUUGAGUGUGUGUUUUUGGUCCUUGAUUUCAAUGAGGGUUUGGGCUGGGAAUUCUAGGAGCAAUAGAGCUUGAAGAGGGGACAGGCAAGGGAGAGGGCACAGGACAUGGGUCAAAGCCACAUGUCCUUAGAUGCCCUGAAAUGGCACCAUCCUACGGAACUUUUAUGAUGAUGUAAGCAGUGUGUAUCUUAACUUCCAAUAUGGUAGCCACAGCAACUGUGAUUAUUGAGCACUUGAACUAUAUGACAUAUGGGAGGAACUGAAUUUGUGAUUGUAUUUUACUUGAGCUCUUUUUUUAAGACAGGGUCUUACUAUGUUGCCCAGGUUGGCCUGGAGCUCUUGGGAGUCUCCUGCCUCAGCCUCCUGAGAAGGUAGGGCUACAGGCAUGGCCCAGCACCCAGCCCACUUAAGUUCACUUUGAUGUUUUAAAUGUAAAUAACCAUAUGGUGACCUUAUUGGGUGGCUCCAUUCUAGAAGCUCAGGGUCACGGCUCAGUGGGUUCUACACCUUUGAGGAUUGGUCAGAGUUCCAUUCUCGUGAUCAUAGACAGCUGG
rnacentral:lncRNA from 1 species